UUCAUGAGGAACUCACCGCCCUCACGGUUGUAAACUAGGAAAAAAAGGUGCUGGGAUUUAAAAACAGGUAUGGAGACCGCUGUUUUGAACUCGCAAAGUGUCGGCGUUGUGCCAGAGAAACCGUGAGUGCGAUUGGGGAGAAAAUUGAGACACUGGAUGGCGACGAAAAGAAAUAUCGCUUUGCAGUUGGCGUAGUCGAGUUGCUGCCGAUGCUCCUGAAUGAGCAGCAGUGCUUUCUGCAGGGACCGGACAUCUAGCCUGCCCAUUCUGUUAAGGGCAAAAAUGCCUCUAAAGCUACAGUCGUCGUCGCGAGCUUUGAAGGGUUUAGCGUAGACGUGCUAGACGUUUUGCAGGCGUGACGGCACUGAUGGAAAUAUACUGGGUCUUCGAUGUCAAGCACAGUGAUGCAAACAAAAAAAAACAUUAAGUGUACUUGAGCAUUUCUGUGGCUUGCCGGCAAGUGCAAGAAAGAUGCCACUAGUCAUUCGGCAAAUAUCAUCGCUUUAGAAGGCUACUUAAGUUAUGUCUACAGAUAUCUGGUAUCAAUAAAUGCUGUGAGAUGAAAAUGCA
rnacentral:lncRNA from 1 species